rnacentral:rRNA from 1 species
AGUGAACGUUGGCGGCGUGGAUUGGGCAUGCAAGUCGUACGGUAAGCUUCGGCUUAUAGUGGCGAAAGGGAGAGUAACGCGUGGUUACAUGCCCUCGGGACCGGGAUAGCGGCGGGAAACUGCCGGUAAUACCGGAUAAUAUCUUUGGAUCAAAGGUAUGAUUCCGCCCGAGGAUUGGACCGCGUUCUAUUAGCUUGUUGGCGGGGUAAUGGCCCACCAAGGCGACGAUGGAUACCGGGUGUGAGAGCAUGGCCCGGCUCACUGGGACUGAGACACUGCCCAGACACCUACGGGUGGCUGCAGUCGAGAAUCUUCGGCAAUGGGGGCAACCCUGACCGAGCGACGCCGCGUGCGGGACGAAGGCCUUCGGGUUGUAAACCGCUGUCAGUUGGGAGGAAGUGCCGGGGGGUUCUCCCCUCGGUUUGACCGAUCUUCAGAGGAAGGACGGGCUAAGUUCGUGCCAGCCGCCGCAGUAA